CACAAAUUACCUAAAACGCAGCACUUACCCACCAAGUGACUGUUAAUUGUGUCCCUCUUGCUGCUGAGAAGAGGAGGCACAGGGGUUAGUUAGCAAGUUACCCAGCUGAAGGUGCCAGAGCUUCAUUUGAACCAGAGACUCACAGUUCCCCGUGCUGGAACUUCCCGGGAGUGGGGUAACCUGGGGUAACCAGCUCUGAGCAGAGUGUUAGGAAGCUAUGGUGAUGCUUAAGGCCUGGGACUAGGAAGAGGAGCGAUACUUCCCUGCUUUGCUUUUCUAAACCAUUGCUCUCCAGUCUGUUGGGAAAGUUACAUUCGGUUAAUAAAUGUGGUUGUUCUAUAAUGAAAACCUUGAAAUCCCGAAAGAUCCCACCCAAUCUGAAAACCUCGCCAUCCACUGGACGAUAUAAAGGAAAACGAAACAUUUGAAAGGUGCCACGGUGUUGACCUCCCUCCCACUGCACUCUCUCUGUUUUUCAAGGACUCUCCACGGAAAACAUGCCAAUAGGAUUCCUGGAGGCAAAAAAGGUGUGCCUAUCAUUUGAUCUAGUAAUCUCCAGGGAAAUCAACAAAAGGAAGUCAAAUGCUACAUAAGAUGUUCAUUUCAGUACUGUGUAUAUAACUGUAGGAGUAGAAGAAACCCGGCUGACCAGCAAUGGAGGAAUACUUCAAUAGGAAUUCAUCUACUUCAUGUAAGACUGUGUGGUCAUUAAACAAAUACUAGAACACACUGUUAAGAUGUGUCUUGCUGAACAGUUCAGUCCUAACCAAUUCAGCUGCCAUCAUGUUCCUGGCACGUGUACAAUGCCACCAGAACUUAAGGGUGAGACAAGAGGGGAGCCACAAGACAAGGGGUGAAGACUUUUGGGUUCCUAGGUUAAUUACCAGGCCCACCUAUGUGACUUCAGCUAUGCUUUGCCAUGCAUUACUACCAGCUACAUGAGGCAGAGGGAUUUCUUCGUUGAUGAGGCAUUCUGCCACUCUAUUGAAGUCAUUGUGGAAACCCUUUUCAGACAGUAAGAGGUAUCCCUAUGUUUCAGUGCAUCUCUCUGCUAUAGAGACUUGUUUUUCAGCUUUGCAGCCCUGAGGUACGUCCCACAUAUGAAUGGAAGUCUUUGUGUCACAAAAGUAAACUCAUCAGCUUCUAUGCCAUGAAGAAGAAAUGUUCAUCUUCUAGGGUGCACACAUGCAAGCCACCUCUUUAAAAUCAGCCCCUUCAACAGCACUGAGCGCGCCUCUGUGUGGGACGUAUCAAUGUCCAUUAAUUGCAGGAAGAAGAGCCGAGAUUCCAAUGGCAAAAUCUGUAAAAGUAGAUGUACAAAGAAAAAAGGAAGCAUCUGUUCAAUCCAUGCGACAUUAGAAUUUAAUUUUACCUCUGCACUGCUUUUGUGGGGCUGCAGUGCUGGAGCAGAGCGCAUAAGCAUGGCCAUGCAGUGUCAGCAGGUGCAUGCCACCAAAUUACUGCUUUUCAUUUGCAUAUUCAUCUGCUAAGAAGCAUGUCAUUAUCAUAUCAAAGGGAUACUAAGCAACAUCUAGCUUGGAGAGAUGUGGCAUAGCUUCAAUAGGAGCAAUUAAUGCAAGAUGAGGACUCUCUGUCAUGUCUCCCAGGGCUUGCUGUAAUCGGGCUGAUUAUUGGAGACCAAUAAGACCAGGGCCCAGUUGGCACCAAACAGGGGAAGAACUGGAAGGAGGCUGCUUGUCCUCUCCACUGUACACUUGACAGCAACAGGAAGCUCUGGUCACUCCAAAGAAUGCAGCUCAUAUUACUCAUGCUGCAGCGAACUCCCAUCUGUUCCUGAUGUUACAAAAUGACCAAACACUGCCUCUAAGUAGUUAUGUAUCAAAAAAAAUUCAAUCUAGCAUCCCAAGAGCACAUAUAAAGAAUGGUGGUGUUAGAGUUGCAUUUA